GAAAGCCGUAUGAGGGAAAACCUCACGUACGGUUUGAUGAGGGUUCAAGGGAAACAUGAUGGCAGCAUUACUGCGCCCUUGUCCUACUCUAC
rfam:Ignavibacteria bacterium RIFOXYD12_FTLL_36_8 rifoxyd3_full_scaffold_121, whole genome shotgun sequence.